rnacentral:rRNA from 1 species
AUACGUAUGGUGCAAACGUUGUUCGGAAUCACUGGGCUUAAAGAGCACGUAGGCGGUUGAGAAAGUCUGAUGUGAAAUCCCUCGGCUUAACCGAGGAAUUGCAUUGGAAACUUCUUGGCUAGAGUGUAGGAGGGGAGAGUGGAAUUCCUGGUGGAGCGGUGAAAUGCGUAGAUAUCAGGAGGAACGCCGGAGGCGAAAGCGACUCUCUGGCCUGCUACUGACGCUGAGGUGCGAAAGCUAGGGGAGCGAACGGGAUUAGAAACCCCAGUAGUCC